UAACACUUCAUGACUGACACUGUUUAUCAUAAUAACAGACACAAUGACUGCAAUGACAUUCAUGAUCUUGAUUUUGAUGUUAGGGAUGUAUUUUCAAGAUUCUGCAGGACAGGUGACUAUAAUUCAGACUCCAACAGUCAAACAUGUUCAGAACGGACAAACAGUCACUCUGACCUGUAAAACCAGCAGCUCCAUUGGAGACCUGUCAAAUGGUUGGUGCAAGAACUGUUUCUCCUGGUACUUACAGAAACCUGGAGAAACUCCUAAACUUUUAGUGUACUACAUUAAAACCCUUCAUACUGGAACUCCAUCAAGAUUCAGUGGAAAUGGAGCCGAUCAUGGAACUGAUUUCUCUCUGACCAUCAGUGGAGUCCAGCCUGAAGAUACAGGAGAGUAUUACUGUCUGAGUGUACACUGGAUCAACAGUAAAGCUGUGUUCACACAGUGAUAAAGAGUCGUACAAAAACCUCCGUCAGUCAGAGUCACAGUGACUGCACUGAUACAGCUGAGAGAUACUGCAGCUGCUCUACAACACAAUCACACACAACACUGAUCAGAUCACACACACACUCAAAAAAAGUAUUCAGUCUAAAUUUAAAUUUUAUGUAAUUCAAUUGCAUAACAAUGUCCCAUCCAAUUAGAUUACAUAGUUUUAACAUAAACUUAAUGUGAGUCAUAUGCAUCAGUCAUACAUGAAUGAAACAGGUAAGAUUUGUGUAAUAAUUCACAGCAAAGUCCCCACACUGCUCAGUGUUCAUGUGUUUCCACACUACAGAGUGUUCAAGUAGCAUUGAAGCAGUGUUGAGUUAAGAAGAUAAUUAUGUGAUGAUUGAUCAUUAAUGAUUAAUAGCUGCUGUUAUCAAGAAGAAUCACCGAAGAAAAGAGAAACACAAGAACUACAACUGACUUCAGCCACAGCUGAAGAUGAAAUCAACUGAAAUAAAAGACAUUAAAUCUCUCAAAAUCUGAUUAAACAACUCCACAAACAGCAUCUAGUGUGUGUGUGUGUGUGUGAGAGAGAGCCCAAAUAAUCAGCCAAAGUGUUGAUUAUUUGUCUAAAGCAGGGCUUAUUUAAAAUGUUUAUUUGUUUGUCUUGUCAUAUCAUGAAAUGUACUUUAAUUUCUUUUAAACAAUAUUGUUCAGCACAAUGAUCAACCAUUGUUGUUGUUUUUGUGCUUUAUAAAUAAAAUGAACUGAA